CUGAUUUGAAGCUGCAUAACGUUCUUGAAUGCAGGCAAACUGACACUGAGAAGGACAAAGAAAAGUUUAAUUUCUGCACCAUGAAGAUGAUGACUGGGUUUCUGCAUGUGUGUGUCAUGAUGACUUUCACACACAGUCUCUCUGUUCCAGAGGAAACAACUGUACCAGCUCUUCCAGAGGAAACAACUGUGCCAGAUGGAGACAACUGGGGAACAC